rnacentral:rRNA from 1 species
UAGAGUUUGAUCCUGGCUCAGGAUGAACGCUGGCGGCGUGCCUAAUACAUGCAAGUCGAGCGAACAGACAAGGAGCUUGCUCCUUUGACGUUAGCGGCGGACGGGUGAGUAACACGUGGGUAACCUACCUAUAAGACUGGGAUAACUUCGGGAAACCGGAGCUAAUACCGGAUAAUAUUUCGAACCGCAUGGUUCGAUAGUGAAAGAUGGUUUUGCUAUCACUUAUAGAUGGACCCGCGCCGUAUUAGCUAGUUGGUAAGGUAACGGCUUACCAAGGCGACGAUACGUAGCCGACCUGAGAGGGUGAUCGGCCACACUGGAACUGAGACACGGUCCAGACUCCUACGGGAGGCAGCAGUAGGGAAUCUUCCGCAAUGGGCGAAAGCCUGACGGAGCAACGCCGCGUGAGUGAUGAAGGUCUUCGGAUCGUAAAACUCUGUUAUUAGGGAAGAACAUACGUGUAAGUAACUAUGCACGUCUG